rnacentral:rRNA from 1 species
UAAGACCCCUUGAAGACUACGAGGUAGAUAGGGCCAAGAUGUAAGUACAGUAAUGUAUUAAGUUGAUGGUUACUAAUAGGUCGAGGGUUUAACCAA